UACGUAGGGGGCAAGCGUUGUCCGGAAUCAUUGGGCGUAAAGAGCGUGUAGGCGCCAGAAAAGUCCGCUGUGAAAACUCGAGGCUCAACUUCGAGCUGUCGGUGGAAACUUUCUGGCUAGAGUCCGGAAGAGGAGAAUGGAAUUCCUGGUGUAGCGGUGAAAUGUGUAGAGAUCGGGAGGAACACCGGUGGCGAAGGCGGGGUCUCUGGGCAUCUCCUGACGCUGAGGCGCGAAAAGCGUGGGGGAGCAAACGGGG
rnacentral:rRNA from 1 species